AAGACUAUACUUUCAGGGAUCAUUUCUAUAGUUCGUUACUAGAGAAGUUUCUCUGAACGUGUAGAGCACCCGAACCCACGAGGAAGAGAUGGAGCGUUCUCUCCUGAGCGUGAAGUUGGCUCUUGGUGUUGUGUUUGCAGCUGCCUUUAGCCGUUGAUGAUCGUUCUUCUCUUCAUUUAUGAAGAGUAAGAGGGAGAUAAACGCAGUCUGAGUGGU